AAGCCUACUGUUUGGGAUGAGAUUCUGCAGUCAGUCAAUAUACUAGAAUAUUUUUAAUUUUUAGACCGAUUUAUUAAUUAUUGGAACACCAAUGAGUCUAGCUCUCCCUUUCAUACGCACAACUUAUAUACUAGUGUCCAUGGGUGCCAUGGCCAAGCAUUUCUGUGAGAAGAAACAGCAAAAAAUAUAUUGAUUACUUCUUACUUGCCAACUUCUAUAGCUUAAAGAGCCAAAUUAUUUUUAAGUAACAUUAAAUUUAGAAAAUUGCUAUAAUACUGGGCUAAUGUACUGUGUAUAAGUUGAUAAAAUUUCUGACAACAAAGUGGUUAAAUACAAAAUAAGGAAGCUUGUCUGGAUUCAUUGUAAACAAAAUAUGAUGUAUUAACACAGUUUUCUACAGUUCAGGUUCAGAUCAUUCAAAGCACCUUUUGUGUAUGUGCACUUAUUUUAAGAUCUGAGGUGUGGCCAAGGCUUUGCACGUUAUUGAGAGAACAUAUUCACAAUACAAAACAUAUUCAAGACAUUUUCUAUGUUUAAAAUUUAUAUCCUUAUCACUUGGAAUAUAGUAUCUUCAUGGUUACAAUCUCAAAAUUAUCUAAAAGGUAUUUUAAAAAAAUAUUCUAAUACUUAUUUUUUGUCUCAGCUUCAAAAUAUGUUUCAAGCACCUUCAAUGUCACCUUCAAUUAAAACAUGAUAUAUUUUUCAGCAAAGUAUAGCACUAACGCAUAAAGACAAUUUUUGCUUGGAAACAGCAGUGUGAAAACACAACUACUACAAGAGCUGACUAUUUUAAGGUUGUAUCUCUAUUAACAAAAAGUAAACAUGAAUGAAAAUGAACAUGUCAGACUUGUGAAAUCAGUUGCCUCACUAUUUCCAAAACUUUGACAGACAGCAUUCCAUUAACACCAUCCUAACUUACCCCACAUAAAAAUAAUAAGUGGCAAGCAGAUAUUGAGAAUCACAGUAUGGCACAGAAGUUCUCAAGCCAGAAGCAAACAAUUCAGCUCAUUUGGGAAUAUUUUGGCUGUUUACAACAAACGAUAGUUGCAUUUCAAAAGCAAAUAUUAAUCUGUGGAAGAAUAUAGGAGGUAGCUUUUAACUGCACCUGGCUGCGAACUAAAGAAUGAUAGGAAAUCACCUUUUGUAGUGAUUUGGCCAAGCCAUUACAUUUACAUUAACACUCCAGACAAAGAAACAUGGGGGAAAAACAGCCGAAGAACUUAAAAUGUUAUAUCAUGGAUUACACUUUACACCAUUAAACACAAACUUUUGGAUUAAAAAUGACUCACUUUGAGACUUUUCAAGGUGCUAUAUACUACAGUCAUUAAGCCUUUGAGCUGAGAGGAGAGAUUUAACAAUGUACUGUGUAUAAAACAACAGUAGCAGUGCUGUAGUUUUGAUCUCUCCAGCCUCUAAGAAUUAAAGAAGCAAAAAAUCAAUUAAUGCAAAUCACUAGACUGGUGGCUUUCUAAUGUGGGUGACCAAGAAGGCAACUUGGUAGCCCUGUCUCUUAAGUCACAGUUCUAAAAAAAUAGUAUAGGGAACAAUUCUGCACCAGCAGAGGAAUAGCCUAGAUGCUACAUUAGGCUUUUCCAUCUCUAAUUCUAUGAUUCUAGUAACACUGCAUCACAGACUAAUUCUUUAGAAUCUGAUGCCAGAAUCAAGUGCUGGAAGGAGCUAGGGAAAAAAAUGCGUUACAGAGCUAUGGUUAUUAGCACAGAUAUUAGUGCUAUUAAUUAUCUACCAGUGAUAUUACAGAUAGGCAAACUGAAUUCUGGUAACUUCAAAAUGUUUUUAUAUUUUAUGCAGUGUGGUGGGGAAAAACAUGGGUAGAAGGGAGACGGUUAGGGAAGAAUCGUUAUGUAAAUAAAGACAAAAAAAACUGACUCUUUCCAUAUGACAGAAAGCAAAUGAGAACCUGUACCCUUUUAUGAUGUAUCACAUGCAAAAUGAGAAGGUGUAAUAAAAUUGAAGAAACAUAUACAGCUCAUAUCUUAAUACUGUAAAAUGAGAAGUAUCUCUAAAAAUGCAAGUACAACAAUGAAUGGUAUUCAGAACAUUUCAAAUGUUUUGUUCUUCAUAAUACUAUUUACAGUAUUUUCAAUCAGCUACAGCAGAUGCAAAAGAGUCCGUUACAGUAAAAGGGAAGUUUUCAAAAAAUCAGUGCAAUUAUUUUCUGUUUAAAUUGAAAUUUUCCUUAGAAAAGAUUGUAGGUAUGCAUUUAGAAGCAAGUUACUAAAUAGAAUAUAAAAAUCAAAAAUAUACUGUCCUGUGUUAGAAACUGAAAAAGUCAGACUGGAGCUAACAGCCACAGUGUUGAUUAAACCAAAGGAGAUGUUACUUUUGGAGAAAUUUUCAAAAUAGAAA